GAUGAACGCUGACAGAAUGCUUAACACAUGCAAGUCGACUUGAAUUUGGGUUUUUAACUUAGGUUUGGGUGGCGGACGGGUGAGUAACGCGUAAAGAACUUGCCUCCCAGCUAGGGACACCAUUUGGAAACGAAUGCUAAUACCUAAUAUUAUGAUAAUAGGGCAUCCUAUAUUUAUAAAAGCAAUAAGCGCUGUGAGAGAGCUUUGCGUCCCAUUAGCUAGUUGGAGAGGUAACGGCUCACCAAGGCGAUGAUGGGUAGCCGGCCUGAGAGGGUGAUCGGCCACAAGGGGACUGAGACACGGCCCUUACUCCUACGGGAGGCAGCAGUGGGGAAUAGUGGACAAUGGACCGAGAGUCUGAUCCAGCAAUUCUGUGUGCACGAUGAAGUUUUUCGGAAUGUAAAGUGCUUUCAGUUGGGAAGAAACAAAUGACGGUACCAACAGAAGAAGUGACGGCUAAAUACGUG
rnacentral:rRNA from 1 species